rnacentral:lncRNA from 1 species
UGGGGAGCAAGUGCAAGUCAGAACACUGACUUUUUCUUUCCCUCUAAGGAUAUCAGCAAUACUGGGUCCUGAGUUACAGCAGGAAGAGACUUGAAUUCUCCUUCCUCUCAUUUUAUUUCUCUACCAGAAAAUCACUUGGCAGCUAUCACAGCAAUACAAACCCUUGGCUGGUCGGUAGCUUAGAGAAACACAAGCCUUUUCUGUGUGCUGAUAAUCAGUGCAAAGAAAAGCAUCUACAGUGUUAUCUUAUAGAAGCAAAGGAUACCUAAUUAAUGCCCAGUCUCCAAAGAAAACUGCCACCCUUCUGGCUGCUUUCCCAGGGAAGAUGUUGGUGCCACAGAGCAGCCAUGUGCAGAGAUGCACUGCUUGGGUACAAGAGGAAGAAUAUUCCUGGCUUAUAGCCUCAGCCCUCAGUAGCCACUCGGUGGGGACAGGCAGAGCCACUGCUUACAGCUUUUGGUUCCAGAGGGCCAUAGUCUUCAUAUACUUCAGCACUCCAUGAAGGCUUUCUUGGUACUGUUCAAAGGCCAGAGGAUCUACUACCACAGAACCAUUCUAGAUGUGAGUUCCUAGUGUGAAAGGACUGGGAGUUAACAGAAGAGCCACAGUGAGAGUCUCCACCUGACUGCAUUGCUUCAUGGCACUGUGCUUUUGGACAUUUGAUAUCCUUCAGCUAGAAUAUAUUUCUUCAUUGUCCAUUCACAGGAGCCUUCCUUUCUUAAAGACUCAAUUAUACAACAUUCUUUCUACACUUAAACUUCAGAUGAACUGAUUCCAGCAGAAUGGACUCUUAUCUUGACAUAGGGGACCAGAGAAUUGGAGCUUCAGAGGACAGGAGCAGCCUCAUUUCCUGAAUCUUUCCUGGAUGCCUACAUGAAAAUGUCAAGGGCAUCUCCAUUCCAAAUCCUUUCAGUAAAAAUCAUCAGAUAGUGUUGCCUCUGCAAUGAGAUAAUGUUGUGCCCAACACAGUUUGCAGUUUGACUAAUUCCUAAUAUAUUCUGCAAGGAUAUAAUAAUCCCUACCUAACCCCUGUGCAUUUUUAGUAUUUUUAAUUUUUAAGCUCAUGAAAACUCAAGACUGAAAAUAAGUUCUCAAAACUAUUUGUGACUAAAAACAACAACAACAACAAAAUCUUUGCAUUCUGACUGUGCGAUUUGGGAGAUUCAGAAGAGCACUGGGUAAGAUUUCUUAAAGAACUCACAAUCUGGUUGGAAAGAUGGAUAUUGUAUAAUGCCAAAGAAUCACAAACAACGUAAUUCAGCAAUAGACUGUGAUACAGACUUACAGUAUCAGAGAAAUUCUCAGAAGAGUAUGACUAGAGGCUCUAUGAUUAGAGUGAGACCUUGAACACUGGGUAGAACAUGACACAGUAGGUGGGUGGAUUUCCUAAGAGAAAGAGCAUCCCAGGCAAGGGAGAGCAAUGUGAGCAGAGACAUUGCACCUAGAAAUGGGUCUUGAUGUUCUAAAGGAUGAGGAGAUUUGAAACUUCUUUACCUGAGAAAGGCAUUUUUGCUGUGGCAUAACAAGGAGAUAAUAGGAAAUGGGAUCAAAUUACAUAGACUUUGCUAUUCUCUUUGUUUCCAGAUUCAAACUCUCUCUUUUUAAGGGGAGAGGAUAAGAAAGCCUAGAAAGAACAAGUGUUGUUAUGCACACAUUGAAGGAAAGUCUAGAUACUCCUCUCCUAAUUGAUUGGGAAUUCGGGAUGUUUCAUAUAAUCAAGAGGUUGGAUGGGAUCUUGAAUGGCUGACUCCAUCUCUCUGGGUUGAGGCAGGAUAAGAGAUAAGCCAUCCAAUACUGGUUUAAAGCUGUAUUUUAAAGUUUCUAGCUAUAUAGAUGUAAUCUCUCUGGUAACUUUUCAAUUCCACAGCAACAUUCGCAUCAGAAAAUCUUGCUACUAGUGUACUGAAGUAUCUCUCAUUGUGACCUAUCUAAGCCCUGUGCAUUUGUUCUGUCCUAGUGAAAAUCACAAACAGUCAAUGUUCAUAGCCAAUUUCACUAGCUCCUCCAAAACUGAGCUAUUGCCAUUCAGUUGCCUUUUUGAACUAUUAAAUGACUCUCAUCUGUGCUUAGUUAGACAAUUGCUUCCACUUCAGGUUAUUUUAAAGAUUCUUCAUUGUGGCUCACAAUAGAUAAAUUUAGAUGGCUUCUUUCUAUUUUUCCCUAUCAUCAAUUCUUCUUCCCUACUACUUCCUAGAACCCUGGCUUCUCUCAAUAACUAGUGUUUAAUCUUGGAAAUGUCAAUUUCCAUUUCAUCUAGGAAUACAGCCAUGUGGAAGAAGCAAGCGUUGAGAGCUAAACAAUCUUAGAAUUCCAACUUGAUUCCUCUGUGACUCUACUUCCUCAUCUGCAAAAAUUAAUAAUAGUGAUAGUACCAACCUCAUAAGUUUGCUGUGUGGGAAUUAUAAAAAGUACUCCCCACUGAGUUUGCUCCAUAGUAAGCACUCUAUAGAAGCUAAUGUUCACUUUUUAAGGCCUCAUGUCAUCAAAUGCUAGCUGUGGCUUGACCUUUUAGCCUGUUUCCUCAUCUGAUAAUGAGUAUAAUAAGAUGUGUCUAAUACAUUGUUAAGCUCCUGACACAUAGCAGCACUCGAGGGAUGGACUCAUUACUAGUGGGAAAAAUUUGGUAUUCACAAUGGCCUGUCCACCCUUACUUUAUACUAAAGGAAAUGAUUCCAAUUUUAGGGUCAAAAAUCUAUUUAAAUACAGGCAUUUCCCAUCUAUGUCCAAAGCCUUCUCUGAUUCCUUAAGAUGUCCCAUAAAUUUUCUUUAGCUGUCAUCAGUGGCGCUGAUGGCUUAGUAUUAUGGACUACCAUUUUAUUUGGCAAAAAAAAAUGAUAAAAUUCUUCAGAUACCCUUAGAUUUGUGCUGCUGAUCCCCUAAUAUUAAAAUACUUUGUUAGAUUUGGGAAUAAUAAAAAGAAAACAAAAAAGUAAAAUAAAAAUGUUGAAAUUUUAAAUGAAUGAAAGGUUGAGUAGCAUUUGGAAUCGCUUUCAAAUGUACAUUCAGAAGGAAAACUGGUCAGUGGUGGCUGUGGCUGGUGGGGGAAAGGGCUCAGAUGUGGCUUCUGGGAUUCCCUUACGACAUUUGCAGAAGUGUGGGAAGGAUGACAAGUUCUGCUGCACUCUGGAGCUGCUGAACCUGAGUAGCCACAUCUAACAUCACAUCACUCGUGGGGAGCAGAAGGAUAAGGGUUGGGGGUCAAGAUGCGGUGUUGGGGGAGGUGGAGGUGCAGCUUCAGCAGAUCCUGGCAGGGGGGUCAGAGCUGGAAUAGAUCACAGUCCCCCCUCUGGGGUUCCCUCUCUGCCUCUCCAUGUGUUCAAGACCAUUACUGUGACUAUGAAAGAGUUGCAGGCUCAGCAUGAGGAGCAGCAUCAGGACAGAAUAUAGUGCUCUGAGGCUUGGCCAAUUACGUCUUAGGUCAGCUCAAUAUUAGUUGUUCUGUUGCUAAUGUAAUUUUAUUACUAUAUUUACUAUGUGUCAGGUGCAAGUCUAAACACUUUACAUUUAUUUUCUCAGCUAAUUUUUGUAGCAACCAUAUAAGGGGUAGUUCCAUUUCACAAAUGAGAAACUAAAGCACAGGGAGGCCAGGUAGCUUGCUCAAGCUAGUAUGUUCACAAGGCAACUCAGAGGUUUAGCCCCAGAGCACCAUAUGUAACCAUGGAUUUAUACUACCUUUCUGGAAUGUGGCUUUCCAACAUUCCAGUGUUCCAUUUUCAGUAAUUCUAGUCUGUGAGUGGGUAAAUGAAUUCAGCUUCUUAGGGCACAUUUUGCAAAUAACUUCCUAUGGUGAACUGUUGUAUGGCAAGUAAUCAAAGAAAUUCAAGCACCCGAAAGUGACAUUAAACAGAUGAAGACUGGCUGGCUUAAUGAUCCUUUAGAAAUUAGAUUGCUAUCAUGUUACCAACUCUUAAGAGUUAGGGUAAAGAUACCUUCCCAGAAAAAUAACAUAAAACUAAAAUCCAUAAAAGCUAAAUAGCUUAUUUUCUCUUCUAAAUACAGAUUUUUCUUUUUUAUUAAUCACUAGUUGCAUUUUUGGGCAAAACAAUGUCUUACCAAAUAAGUAAAUUUUACUAUUUAAGAAAUAUAUGAUAAUUUAAGAAACAUACAAUAUUUUGUCUAUCUAAAUAAAUUCAAAGAUUUAAAGAUUGGCCUUAGAUACUGUGUUCAUAGUGCAAGAAGAAGUGUGACUGGGCUUUGGAAAGAGAUGGCUGGAUCCCUGGACCACCACUAUCUUUUGGAAACCCUGAGUGCAAAUUUUGGAAAAACUUCUCCCCUGACUAGACUAACUGAGAAAAGUCAAUUUCUCUGACUAAGUGAAGUUUUGAGCAUGGCAUGCAGCUUGGCAAGGAAGAGGUUGGGCCCUUCAUCUGGGUGUUUUUAUGCACUAAGCAAAAUGCCCUUUUGGGCCUGGUGUGGUGGCUCAUGCCUGUAAUCCCAGCACUUUGGGAGGCCGAGGCUGGCAGAUCACUUGAGGUCAGGAGUUCAAGGUCAGCCUGGCCAACAUUGUGAAACCCUGCCUCUAUUAAAAAAAAAAAAAUUAGCCAGCCGUGGUGGUACACGCCUGUAAUCCCAGCUACUAGGGAGGCUGAGGCAGGAGAAUCUCAUGAACCCAGGAGGUGGAGGUUGCAGUGAGCCAAGAUCAUGCCACUGCACUCCAGCCUAGGCAACAGAGCGAGACUCCAUCUCAAAGAAAACAAAAAACAAACAAACAAAAAAAUGCACAUCUGUAAGCAAUGGCAUUACUAGGCCCUUCAUCCAAAUUGCUUCUCUUCCAUAGGAAAAGCCUUUGACAUUCUUCUGGGGAUCCUCUAGACCUCCCCCAAACACCUUGGUGUUUUUUGUGCCAGUGCAUGCAAGGUUAGGGUUACACAAGGCAGCUGAAGUUUUCUCCUUCCCUUAUCUUCUGAUUCAUGGGCUUGAACGAUUUUGUUCUGAUAUACCAGUAAGAACACCAUAAGCAGCUCAACUCUCAAAGUCCCUCUCAGCCAACAUAUUCAUGGCUGUUGUCAACAAUAAGGAAACUUUCUCCUCCCGUGGGCCUCUUAAGUUCAUGGGCCUCAAAAUUUUGUGUCAGUUCCAUCUAAUUCCAAGGAUUCCUUUCUAAAUGAAACACAAAUAAGUUGCAGAACAAACUUUUACCACUGCAGAACUUCCCUAUCCCUUCUCAGUUUCAUCUCCUUCUCUCUACCGCAGCACCUAAGGACAUUGUUUUCAAAGAGAGACAGCCUGCCUCAGAGGACUUCAUCCCUUCUCUAGACACACUAGUCCUCAGAGGUGGCCUCCUAUCUUCUCGGGAUCUUUUCCAUCUUUUGAUAUUCAGCCCAUGUGUUGGCAUUUGGCCCUGUUCCUUGUCCUACAUCAUUAGAUCAUAUACCAACAUUGUAUAUAACUCCUAUUUCUAGACUUACUCAUCCCGUUCAUCUGAAAAAGAUGAAAAUCAUCCUAAUCCAGUGAAGGUGUGCAAGCACCUUGAAGCCUGAACUACAGGGCCCCCCAUACUGUGACCAAUGUACAGUAGAUAAUCACAGCCACAUGAUCCUAGGAAGAGGGCAGAGGCAGGCAGAGGUAUUUGGAGAGUGCUGUAGGAUUCCAAGAUGGACUUCUCAUUGAGCCUGACUGAGGGGUGGGCUGGCUGGAGAGAUAGGAGAGCUUAGGGCCUCCUUCCUCCCAUGUUUGGCCUGAGUGAGCUGAAACCCUGUGCUAAGUAAUCUUCACAUUUUAUCUCCUCUUCUUCAUCCCCACUGCUCCUGCACUUGUUCAGAAACUCAUCACUUCUUCUCAGAAAAUGUAUAAAAUGAGAAAAAGAAAGGCAGAAUGAAGUCCAGAGGGGAAGAAGUCAAUGGCACCUGAACAGGAUCUGCGGGGACACAAGGGAGCUCGUAGACAAGUGGUGCCUGGCCCCGGGAGGAGGGCCCUCUCAAAGGCGAGGAUGGGCCAUGCAGGGACCAUAUCAACCUAAAAAGUCACCCAAAGAAUGUCAGACAGUAUGUAAUGAGUAUCCUUUUGAUCCGACAGCUGAGAGUUUUUUGGUAACUCAGUGGGUAAAACUGAGAAGGAGCCAGAAUUUUGUUUUGUUUUGUUUGAGUAUGCACGGUUUGGGUAGUUCCCUCAACUUUGGAUGGCAUUUAUUUCUACACCAUCACACACUCCUGGAAGAGAAGCCACUCCAGGAAGCCUGGACCUUCUAAUUGACAUCCAGUUGCCUCCAAUCCCACUCAAUCUUACCUGUACUAUUUGCCAUCUCCUCUCAAUCAAGUUCAUUCCAUAAUGAUGUUUUCCUGAGUAAACCAGAAAAAAAAGAAUCCUUAUAAAUAGGCAAAGAUUACUUAGUAAAAUAGGCAAAGGCUCUCAGAGCCUUUUUUCUCAUGUGACAUGCAUGUAUCUGAAUAGGAACUUCUUGUUUCUGGCUGUUGAAUUAUCCAAAAGGAUGGCUUUAGUGGUAAGUUUUGUGCAUAAAGGAAAGGAAGGCAUGUUAGCCAGUGGAGAAUACAUUUAGGCCACAGGGACCUUGUGGUGCUUCUUGGAUUACGCUGGGCUUUAUGCAUGGAUAGCAGAUGAGGCCAGGGGAGGAAAAACUCUAGAGAUGGAAGGAUGGAUGGACAAAGGAAGAAGAGAAGAAAGAGAGAAUAAAUAGCAUAUGCAAUAUGUUGAAUUUGCACUGCUAGCAAGCAAGAACUUAAGUCACACACAUACCCAGAGCCAGGCCCUCAGGAAUAUUUCUCAACCUUUAUGCUUUACUCUUCUCCAGAUAGUAAAACACCUACAAAAUAUCAUCAGGCCUUGUUCUUCAGCAUGACAAAAUGUCCUGCUUCUUGCCUCUGUGAACAAGGGGGACUGAGAUUGUAUCUCCUUUCCACAAGAGCCCUUGGGAUCAACACCUAUGGAAGGGAAGGGAGGAAUGGAAAAAAGGGGAGCUGAGCUGGGAUGCAGAUCUGCUAGAUGCCUCAGACAACCCUGCGGGGAGUUAUGGAGAUGGAAUGCCCUUUAGAAUUGUCCAGGGUUCAGGAGACAGGGGAGGCCUUUUUAUACCUGCAUCACCUAGUCACUGGGUAUGCUUGAUGGGGAAGAAUCAUGACGUUAGGAGAGGGAGGUGGCUCUCUGAAGCUGUAGCAAUCCCCAAAGGGGGCAGACCUUUGCAGAUGAGGUCUUUCUUCUGGCAGCACUCCCAGAAACUAAGGUAAAGUCUCCGUUAUUCCUGAGGGGGAUCCGGAUGGCUUAUCAUGUCCAUCACACUCCACAAUGCUAUAUAAUACCAUAAAACUUUGCAAAUAGAAUGAAGGAGAAAAUAAAUAUUGCAAAAGCAUACUGUCAAAUUUCUACAUAACAGAAUAUUAGGUUUGAAAAUAUUACCCAUUAGUUAAAUUUCUCCUCCUUUUACAAUGAUGUUUGCCUUUAAAGGGGUCACCAGAGAAUAAUUUGUUUCACAGAGCAGCCAUGCUAUUAAUACUACUGUUUAGAGAUAUAGAAACGACUUUGCAACUGUGAAUUGCUAAGAAUUGUAGAAAUAAAGGGAAAAUAAAAUUUUCUUUUCUAAUUUUGUCUAGUGAUAAUAAUAAUAAUAAAAAUUACCUCUCUAGGUCUUGCACUAGGCAAGAAGGUAUAAAAUACCCUCUGCUUGCUAGGAGGCUAUGGAAACUUUCCAGCCAUCUUCUGGUUCCUUGUUAAUUUUCUUGAAGUUUGCAGCUUUCCAUUCUUGAGGGUGGGAUGUGGGGUCAGUAUGGGGUAAUGAAAAAAACUCCACUCUUGAGAAUCGGGCUCUUUGCUGGGCCAACAACUAACUAGCGCCAUGUGAAUCGUCCCUUUUCAAUGUUUACAGUGCUUGAUGGUUUCCCAAUGCCAAGAGGAUGGAGUUUAGACCCUUACGACCUCACAGCCUCAUCUACAGCCUUCUUCUGCCUUCUGGCUAGUGUGUUCCAGCCAUGCCCUCCUACUUUCAGAUCCUGAAACAUGCCUGGCUCUCCCCAGUUCCUGCCUCUGCUCAUUUACCCUCUCCUGCACUAUCUUUCCCCAUUGCAACCCCUUCAUCCUCCAAGUCCCAGUUUAGGUGUCUCUUGCUCCUUUUUGGAUCUUCUAAGUUCAAGUCCACUUUCCUGCAUGCUCACAAAGCUCCCUCUAACUUUGCCCAGCAUUGUAUAAUAUUGUAACAGGCUAGAACCUAUUUAAAGCCCAGGAUCCUCACAGCUCAAUCCUAAAUGCAGUCUGUAUUUAAAGAAACAGUGGUCAAAAGUUCACAAAGUAAUUAAGUGUUUUAAUGUUUACUGAAGUCUCUUUACUGCAAUCGAAAAUGCCUGAGAGGGUGCACAAUCUAAACUCUCAGCAAAACAUCUCAGAAAUGCUUCCUCUCUUUAUCUUACUCUCAUUAUCUCCCCAUGCACUGAAACUUCUAUAAGCUCUCCAGAAACCAACCAGAUGUUAUCUUACCUGAUUUCUCUUUGUUUCCUUAUGCAAUGAUACAAUUCUUCUCUUUACUACAUUCUUUGAUCCCUGUCAUAACUGUUUACCUGUAUCCACCACUAGACUCCAUGAUGAAAAGGAUCAUUUCAAUCUUAUUCACAGAACUUGAGAUAAUGCAUGGUACAUAAUAUGUCCUCAAUAAAUAUUUGUUAAAUGGAUAAGGACACAUUAUUGGGUCUUUCCAGGCUAAACUUUCUUCUUCCAAGAAGAAAUAGCCUGGGGAAUUAGAAAGGCACUUCCAGUUGAAAUGGUUCACUACUGAACAGGGCCAGGAGGUCAUGAGGAGAACUGUUUAAACACUUUGUGGCACUAUUUGCAUUGAAUGGCUCUCGUGGUUGAUAAUGAUAGUAAAUAAAGCACAUAUAGUUCCUUUUUUUUUUUUUUUGAGACAAGAUUUUGCUCCUGCUGCCCAGGCUGGAGUGCAGUAUCCUGAUCUCGGCUCAGUGCAACCUCCACCUCCUGGAUUCAAGCAAUUCUCGUGCUUCAGCCUCCCAGGUAGCUAGGAUUACAGGCACCCGGCACCACGCCCAGCUAAUUUUUGUAUUUUUAAUAUAGACAAGAGACAGGGUUGCACCAUGUUGGCCAGGCUGGUCUCAAACUCCUAACCUCAAGUGAUCCGCCCACCUAGGCCUUCCAAAGUGCUGGGAUUACAGGUGUGAGCCACCACGCCCAUCCAAAUACAUAUAGUUCUUAAUAUGUACUACAGACUGUUUCAAAGGCCUUGCAUCUAUUUGCUCAUUUUAUCCUUCUAACACCCUUAUGAGGUAGGAACCAUUAUUUUCCCAAUGUUACAGGUGAGGAAAUUAAGGACCAGAGACCAGAGAGGUUGAGUAAUUUGCUGCUAAGGGACAGCAUUAGCAUUUAAAUCAAGCAGUCUGCCUCUCUGGGCUGUGCUCUUAACCACUACUCUAUAUUUAUUAUUUUGCUACAUACAAAACAACGUUCACAAUGGAAUGUGGAGUGGCAUGUUUGCACGCAGCUGGGAUGCAAGACACCUUGAGAGUAGGGCACUGAGAUUAUAUUUCAAAAUGAUAUAAUAUCUGCAUCCCUAAAAGUGCAUUUUUCUAAGUUACUUUUGCUAUCUGUUCUUCAAAGUCUAUCUGGAGAAUACAAAAUAAUCCUUCAAGCCAGUCACAAAAGAUCACUUAUUAUAUAAUUCCAUUUAUAUGAAAUAUUCAGAAUAGUUAAAUCUAUAGAGGCAGAAAAGUUAGUAGUUGUUUAUGGCUGGUGAGGGGACAGAUGUGAGGAUAGGAAGGUGAUAGCUAAAGAGUUUGGAGUUUCUUACCAGGUGCUGUGGCUCACGCCUGUAAUCCCAGCACUUUAGGAGGCCAUGACAGGUGGAACAUCUGAGGUCAGGAGUUCGAGACCAGUCUGACCAACAUGGUAAAACCCCAACUCCAUUAAAAAUACAAAAAAAUGGGCCAGGCGCAAUGGCUCACCCCUGUAAUCCCAGCACUUUGGGAGGCCGAGGUGGGUGGAUCACGAGGUCAGGAGAUGGAGACCAACCUGGCCAACAUGGUGAAACCUUGUCUCUACUAAAAAUAUAAAAAUUAGCUGGGUGUGGUGGCGCGCACCUGUAAUCCCAGCUACUUGGGAGGCUGAAGCAGGAGAAUCGCUUGAACCUUGGAGGCCGAGAUUGCAGUGAGCCCAGAUCAUGACACUGUACUCCAGCCUGGCAACUGAGCGAGACUUCAUCUCAAAAAAAUAAUAAUAAUAACACAAAAAAUUAGCUGGGCAUGUUGGUGUGCACCUGUAAUCCCAUCUACUCAGGAGACUGAGGCAGAAUUGCUUGAACCCAGGCCGCAGAGGUUGCAGUGAGCCAAGAUCAUGCCACUGCACUCCAGCCUGGGGGACAGAACGAGGUUCCGUCUCAAAAACAAAAAAAAAAAAAUUGAGGGUUUCUUUUUGAGGUGAUGAAAAGGUUCUAAAAUUGACUGAUCAUUCACAUCUCUGUGAAUAUACUAAAAACCAUGGAAUUGUAUACUUCAUAUGGGUGAAUUGUAUGGUAUGGGGAUUAUAUUUGAAUAAAACCAUUAUUUAAAAAAAUACUUCACAACAAAUUUGUCUUUAAUUAAGUUUCUU